rnacentral:rRNA from 1 species
UCGGAUUGUAGUCUGCAACCCGGCUACAUGAGGCUGGAAUCGCUAGUAAUCGCGGAUCAGAAUGCCGCGGUGAAUACGUUCCCGGGUCUUGUACACACCGCCCGUCACACCAUGGGAGUCGGAAAUGCCCGAAGUCUGUGACCCAACCUCAGGGAGGGAGCAGCCGAAGGCAGGUCGGAUGACUGGGGUGAAGUCGUAACAAGGUACC